UUCACAAAAAGAAAUUGCGUAGCUCCAAAAAAUGAGGAGUUGGGGAAUUAGAAGGGAGAGUGAGAUGCGCUAUAUAUGCCUGGCUCCCUGUAUGCCACGCGCCGACGUUGAUCCCGCCGAGGAUCGCCGGAGGUGGGCGGCGUACGAGGAGCCAAGCAUGCUCUCAACCGCCGUCGACACUCUCUCCGCCUUCUUCCCCGGCGCCGGCGUCUAACUUCACAUGUAAAAAUUGGUUAUUUGCAGGUCAAUUGUAGCUAAAGAUUAUGUGAGGCGGGGAAAAAAAAUGUACUCCUAUAUAAGCUUUUUGGCAUGGAAAGAAGUUUUAUUUGAUUUGUAAAAUUAAUAUUAUUUACAACAAAUUUUAAGCUAUUAGAAUCAAACUGAAUAGUACAAUGUGUAUCAAAAUAAAGAAAUCUAAUGGUAGACUAAACGAAACGCCAGUUCUUUCUUAUGGUGUAUGUAGCAUAAUUUAUGAAUAUGUAUAAAUCUACGGUGUUGAUAAAAGUUUUUGCUUUCUUUUGUUAUUCGUUUUUGUUUUAUAGGUUGGGCUUUAUUCUUAUAAAGUAAUAUUUUGAAGCCCAAGUCGCGUGAUCCCAGCUCGUCACCAUUGAAUCGAGUAUUGGGCCUAAAUAGUAUUUAUAUUAAAGCCCAUUUUAUGUUGUAGAUCUCGUCUUGUAUAAUGUGGCUUUUCUUGGA